CCGUGCUAGAUGGGGAGUCAGCGGUGCCCUGUAACCCGCAAUCCGCUAUAGCGGGGUUGAAUUCCCCAUGGAGGCUUUAUUCUGUGUUAUCGGACUAUUACAACUGGUGUUGAGAGUUGGGUCCCACGCAUCAAGAACCUGUGAACCUCGUCAGGACCGGAAGGUAGCAGCGAUAAGCAGUCUUUCUUGAGUGCCGUGGACAAAUCUGGCUUGAGCUGGGUGUAAUAGUAACGGGCAUAGAGUACUGUCGAAGUGGGGUGCACGG
rnacentral:SRP_RNA from 1 species